rnacentral:lncRNA from 1 species
CCUUCACCAGGAUUUAGAUGUACAUUUUCCACCCCCACUGCUUCCUGCCAGGUGUGUUGCAGUGUGGGAGGGCCUCAGAUGGUUGCAGCUUUAGAAGGCAGUGUCACCAUAUAGAAACCAUGAUGUCUCCUGUUGAUCCUAUCAACACACUUCUCAGCUGAUCCUACUAACACACCUUUCAGAGUAACGACAUCUGGGAAAAUAGAACUUCU